rnacentral:rRNA from 1 species
GACGAAGGAUGCAAGCGUUAUCCGGAUUCAUUGGGUUUAAAGGGAGCGUAGGUGGCCUUAUAAGUCAGUGGUGAAAUCUCUCAGCUUAACUGAGAAAUUGCCAUUGAUACUGUAGGGCUUGAAUACAGAUGCCGUUGGCGGAAUAUGACAUGUAGUGGUGAAAUACAUAGAGAUGUCAUAGAACACCGAUUGCGAAGGCAGCUGACGAAACUGUAACUGACACUGAGGCUCGAAAGUGCGGGGAUCAAACAGG